CGGCAGACCGACACGCACGCGCGCUCCGACUUCAGGACGGAAUCCAAGCGUCCGCUGGCCCGGCACGUGUGCCGCUGCACGCGCGCGCCGCUGCACGCGGCCGCCGCGGCGUGCUGGUCGCGCGCACGCGCGCUCGCGCGCCACCUGGCUGCACUCCAGCACCUGUACCACGUCUGGCGACCCAGGAUUAACGCCAAGCUGUUUCUGGCCUUCUAAGCGGUCGCUCCCUCACUGCGCUGCAGCACUUAUACCACGAAAGUUUAAAACCCAUAUUAAACUAUUUCUGUCCUUAUAAGGGUGGAGUUGUCGCUCGAGCGGAGCGUGCGGUGCAGCGUUUAGCGAUCCAGCUGGCUUAGCCAAGGUGGCAAUCGCUAUCGCUUCAACGACGAAACGUUUUGUAUCUCUCUAUCACUCUUCCAUAUUAGUGGGACAGUGACAGUUCCGUUUCGAUCGCUACGUAGCGUAAGCGAUUGGCAUGUUGACUACGCGGCCAGGCUUAAUACCAAGCAGUUUGUUGCCUUGUCUUGCUGCUUUAUUUGGUUUAUGAAAGAUUCAAAUUCAAUAUAAUUAUAUACACGGUCAAUAUACACGGAGUGUACAACGUACGUGGUCUUACGCGGUUCAACAAAUGCAAACGUACACAUCAGUGCACGCUGCUCUGACGCUUGACGCUCCGCUACGCUCGCCUUGAGGCCACUUUUCUAAGUUACGUCGCUUCUUUCGUGUCCACAAAUAAACGGUUUAGCAUGCUGUUACAUUGCUACUAUUUUUGUUUUUACCUACAUUCUGAUUCUAUCUAUCUCAGAUACUAAAAUGACCAGUCAGUCUACUAAUUGUAGUGCAUAAUUAUUUUCCAUCGUAUUUUCACGGAAACUUACGAACGUGCCUUGCUAUCAGCCAGUCUCCGUACAGAAAGUACCGAGGUUGACUGAAGUAGCACGACAAACACGAACGUUUCCGAGAAAAUACGAUGGAAAACAUUUAUGCACUACAUCUGUAGCUUGCUGCAGAAAAACGUGCGUCCGAUUCUGUUCAACAACUUGUUAUAGUUUUGAUCUACUUUUUUGUGUAUUGUAUUCUGAUUCGACUUUUAAGAGGGCUCACGCUAGUGCAUGCGAAAAGAAGUGAAAGUCAUGCGAGAGAUACGCGACAAUCACCAAAACGAUAGGCAAGGUUGUGUCAAAACCAGAACAUACUUUUAGUGAGGUUAAUAAAAAACAACUCAACAAUUCGACACUACUUUGAAAAAAUCUCGUAUCUCACUGUUAUGUAUAGUUUGUUUUUUUAGCACUAGAAAGAACUUCGCAGAAGUAAGGUUGUGGUUCCUAAUCCGACAAUUAUAGCGGUAAUAAUUUGAAGUAAAUUAUAAGUAUUUACCAUGCUACAUUAGAUAAUUCAAUAACUAUUAACAAUUAAAGAGCCUGAUAAAAACUGCACGCUUGCUUCUGUGGAGUUCUUUCUAAUGCUAAAAAAAACGAACUAUAAGACAUUCUAGUCCUUAUUUUCAACCUAUUUUCAUUUCUUGUCUGACCAAAAUAGUACAGCAUUCUUACUAAGCAGAAAAAACAGAGUAAUGCCUCAUGUUUGGGGGUUUAAAAAUAUUAAUUUUAGGAAAGCGCGCGUAAAAUAGUAAUAUUAAGGUUUAUUGAAUUAUUAUUUUUUAAGUCGUUAAUAUUUAUUUAUCCGAAAUGUUUUAUAUUUAGUUUGAAAUUAAUAGUGACAAGUAUUAGUGAGUUGGAUUAGCAAUAUUGAGUAUUUUAUAGAUAAUUCGAAUACCCAUAGAAAUAUGUUGAAAAACUGACCGCGAUAUAUUUUAGUCAAACAUAAAUGCCAUACUAGUUAAUAACAUAGUACAGAAUCCUUAGUAUUUAGGGACUAGUGAAACUUAAUCGAAGUAGGCAUAAAAUUAAUACUUGGAUUAAUUUAUUAUUUCAGUAGGAAUGAUAUUUUAUUUUUAUAGGAAUUACAACAUGUUACGUUUACCCCAAAAUUAAAGUAAUCGAGUUUCGGAGCCGCGACCGAGAGAGGGCGUAAGUAACUCAACUAUACUUGGUCAAGCAGAUCUUGUCAGUAGAUAAAGGUGGCAAAUUUGAAAAAUGUAGGCACGAAGGGAAAUCGCUUCAUAGAAAAUUUGAAUUUCGCGCCUUUUUCUACUGACAAGAUUUGCUUGACCAUCUAUAUUUACCUCGCUUUCGAAAGAGAUAGACGAGUUUAUGGCGAGAUGGGGGCUGUUUUUGGGACAUAUCCCGUCUCACUCUCACUUGUAACUGCGUCCAUCUCGGCCAGCCGACGGCCGCCGAGCCACCAGCAACAGGGUAGAGCUCCAAAGAGCAACUGGGUACCGCUUAUAGUCUAGCAAACCAAUUUUAACAGUUUUUUAACUUCUAGCCGCCCAUACGUCAAACCUUGCCAAGCAAAAUGAAUUUUUAUUUAGUCAACACAAAGUUCAAAUUAGAAUGGAACAGGAGACCUUUUUAUAGGUCUCUGGGCGGCUAGAGGUUAAAGGCGACAAAGUAAAAUGUUGGCGCGAAUAGUCGAAAUUCCAGUCGGUUGAACUUCAAAAUGGCGAAGUAAUCUUGAAAGGCGUUUAUUUCUGUGGUAAACACCCGGCAACCCAUAGUGGCUUUUUGUAAAAUCCAGCUGUCACUUUACUAAAAGCAAUUUUAAACAAACAUACCGAACAACUUUCUCAACGAGCAUUUUAGAAUUGGCCGUCAUCAAAAAUGGACGCCAUUUUGAAAAGAUGUCAUUUUAAAGUAGACACAUAGUCUAAUAAAACAUGGUCUUCUCUUCCCAGAGUGACACAGGCCUACGUCACACUAACAUGGCCGCUAUAUAUAGCGCUAUCGCAUAUUAUCAUAUAGCGCUGUCGCAUGAUGACGUAGUCUUGUGUCAGUCAGGUGACCUAGAAAAGACGGGAAGAGAGUACCAGGCGGAGUAUAUUAUUAUACCAUGAGUAGACAAAUAAAAAAGUUGGUAAUCAAACUUAAAAGGUGAAAGCUUUUAUUAAAUUUUUAUUUGCGCCUUUUCAUUUUACUGAGAAAUUGGUUUGCCAGACUAUAUUUUACUAAAAUUUACAAAAUUUUUGGAUGUGCUUACCACGAGAACUAUAUUUUUGAAAAGUGAAUCAUUUUAAAUUGCGUUCAGGCUUCUGUCCAAUUUCAUAAGAGUUUUUAACAGUUGAAUUAAAAUGGGAGCACUGCCUCUUGUAUUUUAAAUGAAUUAAUGAUAUUAUUAGUGACUUACUGCAACUACUUAAAUAUACACUGACACACCGAUGUUUUUAACUAAAAUUAACUAUUUAAAAAUAUAUAUUGUAUUAUAUAAUGUUAUUGUAUUGUAUCUUGUCUUUGAAAUUUCAUUUCACAUGACACAUUCUUAUUAAUCACCGUCAUUAAACGGUUGGAUUUGUCGUAGCUAAAUAAAAUAUGACUUUUUAUCCUUUUUAUGAAUAAUCUCAAAACAUGCAUUGUAAGUGCCUAUGAAGGAAUUACAAAAGAAAUCACAAAAUUAGAGUUAGACCAUGAAAUGUCUGCAGCGAUUUCGAUAGCCCACGCAGUGUAAGUGUUAUUUAUAUAUACGUCAUAAUUUCACAGAAGUUUGACGUUGAAAAUAACAGAAGUUGCACCGCGUGGGCUAUCAAAAUCGCUCCGACUUUUCAUGGUCUACCUAACCCUAGUAUAUUUCAAUAUUCUGUUGUUUAUGGGUUCUACAAACGUCGCCGAUAAACGCAUGCGAUUUUUGAUACAUUGCAGCAUUUGAUUGGUCGAUUGAAUUCGUCACUCCUUCUUAGUCAGCGAUUAUCUAAAAUCGCAAGUUAUUUGUUGCGGGGCCUCUGAAGUUAGUUAGGGUAAAGCGGGCAUUACAUUAUACAAUUUGUAGUGCGCUAGCUGAGUUAGCGCACUAAUUUAGUAUAGUGUAAAGACAGUUAGCCAGUUAGAGACCCAAUCUAGUGCAAUCGCAUGUGCUCUGCCGCACUAACGCUAUCUAGCGCACUAGAUCGCAUAGUGUAAAUGGUUUUAGCGCGCUCAGCGCUUACUGUGUAAGGUCAGUUGUCGGCACGCCACCGACGCACUCGAACACGCGUAUGAUGGAUGUUUUAUUGUUUUAGUUAUUGCAUUUCAGUUCAAAAUGACGCAGCCGCAGACUAGGGAAUAGGAAGUACCUACUGCUAAAAUCUUCUUCUUCAAUCAUGAACUUUAUAAAGACAUGCCAUUUUUAUGGGAUAAAAAACAUAAAGAUUACAAAUACAAAGACAUUAGAAAUUAUGGUAACAAAGUGCUUCUCGAAAUGUACAAAGAAUUCGACUGAAACGCGACCUUCGACCGAAACGCGACGUUCGAUUCGAACGAUGAUCACUGCUGAAAUGAAAAUAAGACACUAACUAGCGUCGCUAGCUAGUGUAGUGUAAUGAACAAGCUCUUUUUUAUCUCGCCGAGCAACACUUAAUUAGCGCUCUGCAAAUUGUAUAAUGUAAUGCCCGCUUAAGAGAAAUAAUGAUUUAGAAAAAAAUAAGUACCUAUUGCAAUUUUUAAUAAAACAACUUGUAAGUUGCGAAUAAAUAUUUCUAAUCGUUUUCUAAAAUGUUACGAAAUUAAAUGCUUAUUUUAUCCUAAACUGUAAAUCGUAAUUAGAUUCCAAAAAAACUAAGAUAAUGUUGCCACUGCAAUAAUUUGUUUGUAAAAUAGUAAAUUCCUUUUUAUGAAUAAACACGCUAAGAUAAUUUAUUUAUUGGUAAUUUUACUCCUAUUAUUUAAAAAAAAGUACUUUAUCUUACUUAUUUUUACAUAAAUACGAGACGCGCUAGUAAAAAGUGGCAACAUUUUUUGCAAUCUAAUUAUGAUUUUCAGUUUAGAAAUAAUAAACCAUGUUAUUCUUUCUCUAACUGACAUAAUAGUACCUAUAAUUAUAUAAGUUUUAAAAUUUUAAUAUAUGUUGAUAUUGCCAUGUAAAAGUCUAAACAAGUGUAUCAAGACUAUUAUUUACUAAAUAUCAAUAAUAAUUUUAAACAUCAAGCAAUCGUAAAGUAAUAAUAUGCAAAUUUAAUCAUAUCAGUCGUAUUUUGGCUUUUUAGGUGUAUUUUAACAUGUUUUAUGGUGGAAUAAAUGGGUAUGACUGGUAGGAUUCUAAAAAGUAUGCCUCGGGAGCUCAAAACUAGCACAUGAUGACGAAUAAUCAUAUACAAAAUGAUGAAUAAUUAGUUUACGAUUGACAAUGUUAUCUAAAUAAUUGAUACGUUUUAAGAAUUAUAAUUUGCAUUUAUACGUAUUUACACUUAAAAAAAUUGAUAUUAUUUACAACAAUCGGGAUAAGUGCGACUGUGGGGUUAUUGCGUCUAUUUGAAACAUAUUUAAACAGCGGAAUUACAAGAGCUCCCGUCAUGAGUUACUUGGAAAUAACACGUAAGAUUAAGGGCGUUCAGACUAGUCGUUUUCGAGAAAAACGAAAUAGACUCAAUAGGUAAUCCCAUAGUUGAAAUUAACCCAUAUACUUGCUAACCUUGUUAUAAACAUAACUAUGGAAUUGAUUUGGGAAUUUAAUUGUGACAGAAGUUUAUUAGGAAUUGUUAUAUCGACCUUAAUGACCGACACAAAUAUUGUAUCCGCAAAAACUUUCGAUCAUAUAUAUAAAUAAAGCCAGUAAUAUAUCAUCAUUGUCAAGAGGGCGCUGUUAUUCUCACUGUAUAGUGUGAAAAAAAUAGUUCCAGUGAAAUUCCGCAACAUGGCGCGUGAUCAUAUAUUCCUGGUCAGGCUUUACCUACACACAUAAGAAUUAGAAGCAAUUCAUAUUCUGUAUUGCAUUUUGAAUAUUUUAGCGCAGAAGUUCCUAAGUUAAAUAUAACUUAAGGUAUAGUUUGUUUUACACUAAUUUAUGACUUUUUGAGCAUCUUACAGACUUACGGGCAUGAAAAGUAUAAUCGGUAAAGUCAAUCGGUGCAAAUGCAUAGUUAAAACAUAGAGGUCACCUUACGGGUAUCAUGCAAUGUGCACUUAUGAUAUCGACCGAACUGUGCUGUUCGAAGAAAUCUAAUAAUUAUAUUUUAUAAUGCCGAUAACUGGUGCUCGUAAGUCUAUGUAAGCAUUUUAUAUUUCAAUAUAAAAAUGUAUCUUUGCAAUUAUUUUUCUGUAUUUUCACAUGUCACGAAGUCACAGAACGACGUAUCUUUUCUUACAUUAAAAGCAUUUCUGAUAUCUUUAGUGUAGUAGAGUUACAAAUUAUCUUAUGAAUAGUUGAAAUUGAUCUAUUGGUAUUAUUAAUAAAUCAAGAAUUGUUGACUGAUUUGACAAUUUGUAGAUGUGAACAGUUUCUAUAGGACAAUAUGAUUUUCGGUUCGGCUUUUCGGUAACUAUAUAUAGCAUGUUUGUUUUAUAUUGUGGAUGUAAGCGUCUUGGCCGUUCAUAUAUAUAUCGAUGACGACUGUACCUGUACCAGCGUUGGUAUGUAAGUAAUAUGUAUAUUCAAAACUAUUAUUGUCUCUUCUAAAGAUCAGUGUUCAAUGUCUGAACGCAAAAGUCUUCCGAUUUGGUUAGAUUUGUAUUGGGAAUGAAAGACAAAGCAUAUAUUACUGAAUCGCGAUUAGAAAGGGAUUGAGAUAGCUGUCAAUCCAUAUUGAUUUUGACGUAAGUGUAUGGAAAUCUGUUAUUUCUAAUCCCUUUCUGAUCGCGGCAUGAUAAUAUCAGGCAGGGUAGUCGCGGCUAUGGAAAAUAAUCAGUAAAAAUACAUUCGGGGCAGAUAAAAAAGUGCAAGGUGCAUAGGGAUAACUUCGGCAAUGCGGUAAUUUUGAAUUUCGCUAAAUUCUCCUUAAAUAGAAGCACUUCAUUGGCAAUACUCACGCUACUACAACGCUUGUAAUUGCUUGCAAUAGUAGAAAGUUCUUCUAGUUAAAGAUAUUAGCGAUUUUCGAAAUUAUCCCACUUUCGAAGUUACCCCACAGCACCUUAUCUUCAGAGGAAUUACCUCAUUCGUUACACUUGCCCCCACUUACCUUACAUUUGGGAAUUAAAUAAUCUGAGAGUUACCGAAAAGUCGUACCUUCUGUAGUAAUAAUUAAAUUAAUUAAAUAAGUAUAUAUUUAGACGACAGUUUUCAUUACUAUCAGUGUUGACGACAUUGGUAAUGUAUGAGUAGCGUGAUAUGAUGUGAAAAGUGUGUGUUAUAUGCAUUUUAGAAAAUUGAAGGAAUGGAAAGAUUCACACGCUUCUGGCAGGCCUCGGUAGCUCGGUUGAUUGGUCGCGAGCUCGAGUCACGCCAGAAGCUGUGAAUUUUGAAAUUUUAGCUUAUAUUUUUUUGAAAAUGUUAGGUUUGGGGCAAGGCAACUUCGGAGAGGAUGAAAUAUUUAAAAAUUAUUUGACCUUGUGAACUGAGAGGCCGAUUGGGGUACAGUUUUAGUGAAAAUUAUUAUAUAGUUUAUAUUUAAAUUUAUUACCGUGUCAAAAUUAUGUGUGUCGAUGGAUUUCCAUAGAGUUGAGAAUGAAUUUUUGUCGUUUUUGCCCCAUGGCAUAAUUAGGAAUGCUCCUUUGCCGCGUAAAACCUUUCAGAAUAAACAAUUUAUAAGAGAAUUAUUUACUAUUAUUUAUUAUUUAGUAUUAUUUACCUAUGUAAUUUAUGAAUGAAACAAUCGGAUUGUUAUUUCUAUUUAUUAUUGAAAUAUUACACACAUUUCACAUGAUUUUACUCAAUAGUAUAGUGAUUUUGUUCUAUUCACAUAUAUAAGUAUUAUUUACUUAUAGCAUAGCGCGUAAUGUAGGACUUUUAGGGUCCAUUUUGAUUUGAAAUACGAAUAGCUAUAGAAUUGCUAAAAAAUAUAAGUAUGAGUUAAUGUUAAAGUAAUGCUUUUAAAUUUUAUUUACCUUUACUAUUGUUUCAUAAAUAUUUGUUAGUGUGGGGUAAGUGCGACUUUUCUCGAAUUACAACGAGAUAUUAAAAGUUAGAGCGACUCAUGAUGGUCUAUGAUGGGAACUAUUUCCUUGCCCGUGUUUUCAAAAAGCGUCAAUAGUAAAAGAGCAAUUUAAAAAGUCGCAAUUACCCCAAGCCAUCACGUAAAUCAUCAUUAAAUUGUUUUUAAUGUUAUUACCUAACUCGAACUGGUUGUACCUAUAUGUUUUGUAUAAAUUCCAUGGGAAUCGAAUGCUCUUUGAUCUUGGAUGAAUAUAUUAUACUUAGACGUGACGUAGGUAUAGUUAUCGGCAGGGAAGUUGUGGUCCGUGAUUAUACUGAGGUAAGACGGUCUUUAACAUGUUAUGUGCGUGACCUCAACUCUAGUGCCGCUGCCGAUACCUGAGGGUCGACCGACAACAUCGAAAAAUCGAGAAACGUUAUCUGCCCCGCUCUCGCUUAAAUAUUCAAGAGCGAUAGAGAGGCAGAUAACAAAAUUCCAAUGUUUGUUUUCACAGUUGAAGAAUCGUGAAGAUUACUCUUCAAAUGUGUAUGUCUAAUAAGUAUAGUUCUUUCGUCUCUCAAACAAUAAUAUUAAAAAAAUAAUGUUUUCUAGAGUGAUUUGGAAAAUUUUAAAUGAAAGUUUUAAUGCCUUUUAUAGAGUGAGAAUGGAAUGAAUCUUACAGUGUCCGCCGGGAUAUCCGGUCAAGCAAGUCUGUCAGUAGAAAAAGGCGCGAAAUUCAAAUUUUAUAUGGUACAUUGGUACAUUAACCCUUGGCGCAUACAUUUUUUAAAUUUGCCGCUUUUUUCACUGACUGAAAUGGCUUGACAGAGUAUAAGUACCUACUUACUGUAAAUAAUUACUUAUAAAUUUGUCACUGUGUCGAGACGUCCACGUUACUCUGAUAGUAAACAGUUCUUCAUGUUU